GGGGGCGACCGGUUUCGACGUGGGUUGCGAACCUUCAGAGGCGUACCGAGGCGCAGUGCCCUCGUAAAUCUCGCUGCAAAAACUAUAGUUGCCAACGACGACAACUUCGCUCUCGCCGCCUAACCGCGGCUGACCUCCGACCGGUCCGUGCCUGU
rnacentral:tmRNA from 1 species